rnacentral:rRNA from 1 species
CCUACGGGAGGCAGCAGUGGGGAAUAUUGCGCAAUGGGCGAAAGCCUGACGCAGCGACGCCGCGUGAGGGAUGAAGGUCUUCGGAUCGUAAACCUCUGUCAGCAGGGAAGAACGGUCACUGUGCUAAUCAGCAGUGAAUUGACGGUACCUGCAAAGGAAGCACCGGCUAACUCCGUGCCAGCAGCCGCGGUCAUACGGAGGGUGCGAGCGUUAAUCGGAAUUACUGGGCGUAAAGCGCUCGUAGGCGGUAUUUCAAGUCAAGGGUGAAAUCCCCGCGCGCAACUUGGGAACUGCCUUUGAAACUGGCAAACUGGAGUGUGUGAGAGGAUAGUGGAAUUCCAGGUGUAGGAGUGAAAGCCGUAGAUAUCUGGAGGAACAUCAGUGGCGAAGGCGACUAUCUGGCACAUAACUGACGCUGAGGAGCGAAAGCGUGGGUAGCAAACAGGAUUAGAUACCCGGGUAGUC